GAUCCCCGUUGUAUACGAUACAUCGGCUGUCAGGGAAAAUUCCCCCGAGGGUUAUGUCAUCCCACCCCCAUUCGCUGGCAAGGAAUAUGCGGGAUAUCAUAUUGUGGUGUUUACAUAAUUCACCCGCGGGACCUCGAGUUGGGGUGCGGGGUUCCGCACGGACUGUUUUUGUUGUUGCUCUUCCGGAGUGAAGGUUCACAGAGUUCCCGCCGUUAUGCGAGUAGUGUUUUGAUGUCUAGCAAUAAAACAAGUUUUGUUCCUGUGUCCGACACUCCGCCUCCUUUUCUCCGGCGCUACACUGGUGACCCCAACGUCAGUCCCGGCGUUUUCGAGACUGAACCGAACAUGGGAACCGCCAUCCUCAAAUUGCCGGAGUUUUGGGAGAUGUUCGCGGCACCGUGGUGCGCGCAGACGGAGGCUCCGUUCGCCCUCCGCGGGAUCUCAGAGGAUUCCACACGUUAUUGUCACGUUGUCUCAGCCCUCAUAAGCUCAACGGCGGCCAGAGCAGUGAACUUAAUCACCUCUCCCCCGGCCCGAGAUAAGUAUCAUGGGAUCAAGGCUCACCUUCUGAAGGUUUUUGAGCUUUCAUGGCCGGAGCGUGCCCGACGUCUGUUGGCUAUUAAUGGACUGGGGGACAGCAAACCUUCCGAACUCAUGGAAAUGAUGCUAAACCUGCUGGGCACGGAAGAGCCCAAUUUCAUUUUCAUGGAACUGUUUCUCAGGCACAUGCCACCGCAUGUUCAGAUGGCGCUCGCUAACAGUACUGAGCAGUCACUGAGCCCCGGGCCCUGGCUGAGGAGGCCGACCGUUUCUUCGUGGCUACGCAAUGCUUCUCCCCUGAGAUGCUAGCCGCGACGCGCACUUACUCGCCUCCGGGCGCGGGGGUGGCAUCCAGCAGGGGCCCCAUCGCCACCGAUGGCCGUGCUGGCACAGGCUUGUGCUACUUCCACGCCCGUUUCGGUGCGAAAGUGAAGAGGUGCUGCGCCCCUUGCAACUACGACGCGUCGGGAAACGCCAAAGCCCACACUCCGCAGUGGCUGUGAGCGUGGGCGCGAAGAGGCGGCUGCUGUUCGUCAAGGAUACCCUUUGCGAGCGCAAAUUCCUUUCCGACACCGGCGCCCAGAGGAGCGUCCUGACAUGGAUAUGGAGGGUCCAAUAGGAUCCUGCCUGCUCUUGUCCUAGUUUGGGUGGUUUGCAAGUCCUCAAGGGUGGGUAAGGUGGUGCUGACAAUCCGUUUUGCGGCUUUGAUUGUUGCAGUCGAAGUUUGUCCUUUUUUGUGGCAGCCCCAUACCAGACUGUGAUGGAGAUACACAGUACUGAUUCGAUAACUACUGUGUAAAACUGCCUAAGCCACUCUUGUGGCAGGCUUUGCUUCCACAGAAGCCGCAAGAAGUAUACCCUUUGGUUGUCAUGGCCGUGAUCAUUCCCUCUAUAGAAAUACAUCCAUCCAUCCAUCUUCUACCGUUUCUCCAGGUCAAGUCGCGGGGGAAGUAGCUUCAGCAGAGAUACCCAGACCUCCCUUUCCCCAGCCACUUCUUCCAGGUCUUCCGGAGGGAUCCCGAGGUUUUCCCAGGCCAGCCGAGAGACAUUGCAUGUCCUGGGUCAUCCCCAGGGUCUCUUUCCGGUGGGAUAUGCUGGUAACACCUCACCAGGGAGGCGUCCGGGAGGCAUUCAUAUCAGAUGCCCCAGCCACCUCAUCUUGCUCCUAUCAAUGCGGAUGAGCAGCGGCUCGACACUGAGCCCCUUCCCGAUUACCAAGCUUCUCACCCUAUCUCUAAGGGAAAGCCCAGAUACAGAGGAAACUCAUUUUAGCCGCUUGUUCUUUCGGUCAUGACCCACAACUCGUGCCCAUAGGUGAGGGUAGGGACAUAGAUCAAGUCGUAAAUUGAGAGCCUUGCCCUUUGACUUUGCUUCCUCUUUACUACAAUGGACCGAUAUAAAGUCCGUCUCACUGCAGAUGUUGCACCGAUCCGCCUGUCGAUCUCCCACUCCAUUCUUCCCUCACUCGUAAACAAGACCCCCAAAUACUUGAACUCCAAGAACUUCUGUAGCUGGGGACCAGAUUGCCAAGGUCCCCACCUUUGGCCACUGCUCAGCUCACAUUGCACCCAACCUCUUUGGCCCCCCUUACAAGUGGUGAGCCAAUGGGAAUGGGGACCCAUGUUACCCUUUCAGCCUGUGCCCGGGCGAGCCUCAUGGUUCCAGGCCCAGACACCAGCCGCUCACCUUUGAGCCCCACCUGCAGGAAUGACUCCAGAGGGGGGGCCCGGUGACCCACGUCCAGGCAAGGGAAACCAAUAUCCAAUAUUUGGAUUCAUCAUAGGGGUUUUGGAGUUGUACUUUGUUUGGUCCCUCACCGAGGACCUUUUUGCCAUGGGUGAAUCUACCAGGGGCGUGAAGCCCCAGACACCUUAGCUCCUAGGAUCAUUGGGACAUACAAAAUGCUCCACCACGAUAAGGUGAUGGCUUGAGGAGGUGUAUAUACACACGUAAUAUGUACAUAGAUGCAUCUACAUACAAAUAUUAGUUUUCCCUUCAACUUUCACAGGCUUUGUCUGUCUCUCUGGGUCUCUCACUUUGAUAUAACAAAAGGAAAUUUAGCCUGAUCUUUAGUAAGUUCUGACAACUGACUUUUACAAUGUCCCCUCUUUUCAAAUACUUUCCUUUCUUUUUGUAGUAAAAAUUCACAAAGACAAGAUUGUGUCCUUGCUUACGGUGUCACAAAAAGAUCUUGUCAAAACAGUUGGUGUCAGGAGUGGGAUUCCAGGAUCCAGGGGCUCUCUGGACCAGUGACUGAUCAUCCAGGAUGAGAGCAUUAGUCCUGCUCUUACCCAGGAUCGAGGCCUUGGGAGUGCCCAGCUGCCUUCUUAGAUCAGCCAUCACCUCAGGAUUCCAAAGGUCCCAGGUUAUAAUUCAGUGAGGUGUUAUGUGCCACAAGACCUGAUAGCGAGGGAUAGAGGUCUUGGGCUUAAAUUCAGUGAGGGGUUCGGUACCUCCAGCUCUGACAAUGAUUGGUUUAAGUCCCCAAGACCCAACAAUUAGGGGUUCGAGUCCCCAAAAAUUUCAAAAACAUUCGAAUAUUAUGAUAAAGUGAAGCAGUUCUUGAAAAUGCUGAGUGGGAAGAGCAAAACCAGCGAUAAGAACAAAAACAGGGGUUUACCAGUGUACACAUCACCAAUCAAGACCCAUAUGAGGGGGAAAUAUGGAAAAGAAAUUUAUUACUUGGGUAGAGAAAUAGGUUGUCUGGUGGAAUACGGUGAGAUGACACCAGUGACUGGGCACCUCCAUACCCCGCGCAAGUCAAACAGCAACCCGAGCAACCAAGCACCGAUUACAACAGUCAGUGGCCCCCUUCUCCGUAUUUGGGACUGGCGCUUCCAACUGCUUUGCUCAGGAACAAUUUCAAAGCCGAGGACAUGGUGGACAAGGCAUGAAACAUGGAGGGGGUAGAAGUGGUCACAACAGGCCGAACUGGGGGAGUGGCGACUUCAAUGAUGAUACUUGGCACAACUGUGGAGAGAAGGGCCAUUUUGGCAAAAAGACUACAUGAAAAGACGCCAAGAUGGGAUUGCUGACCUUUGGAGGGGUUGUGUGGGGAUCAGCUCACGCUGUGUCGCGUCUGACUGAUUCCUGGUGGGCCUCGGAGCAGCGCAGUUGACAGGUGCUGUGGUCAAUUUGUCUUCCGGGUUCCAUCCUAAAACUAAUGGGCAGACAGCAUGGGUGAACCAAGAGCUGGAAACGGGUCUCUGUUGCCUCACUCACGGGAACCACACAUCUGGAGCCAGAAGUAUUGUCAGAAUCAGCGGUGGCGUCUGUGUUGGCGUUAGUGAGACGCUGCAGGAGGACCUGGUAGUGAGCCCAGCAGAUGCUGUUGCGCUGGGGGUGGUCCUACAAGACCACAGCGGACCAUAGACUGAACAUAGGCGGACCUUGGCACUGGACUACAAAGUGGGUAAAUGUGUUUGGCUUACAACUAAGCAGCUUUCACUUCAGCUGGAGUCCUGGAAUCUCCCUCCCAGGUUCGUUGGGCCCUUCUCCAUCUCUAAAGUCGUCAACCCUGUCACCUUAAAGCUAUAGUUCCCAAGGACGAUGCAGGUCCAUCCUGCCUUUCAUUUCACCCUGCUUAAACCGGCCCAGGUGUUCCCGUUGGUCCCGCCUUUCAGGCCCCCUCUACCUCCCUGGUUUAUGGGUGGGGGUCCUGUCUUUUCUGUGUGGUGGCUGUUGUUGUCACGCUGUAGAGGAAGGGGGUGCAGUAUUUUGUGAAUUGGGAGGGCUAUGGUACCGAGGAGCAGUCUUGGAUCCUUUCUAGAUUUGUUGUCGACCACACUCAUUCACGAUUUCCAUGCUGCGCAUCCUAAGGCUCCUGGGCUGUCUGGUACUGGCCGUUGGGGGGUACUGUCAUGGGCGUGUUCAUUCCCUCUGUGUACACACACCCGCUCCUGAGAGCACUGUCCCCACCUGUUCCUUGUUUGUUAAUUGUGUCUUGCAAAGAACCCUCGUAUGUCAUGUCAUUCUUGGCUAGUUUGUUGUAACUCCAUUUCACGUUCCCGUAUCCACAUGUUUGACUCACAGUAAUCUGACCUUGCCUUGUGUUUUUAACCUCUUCUUUUGCCUCUUGUUUUGGAUACUGUUGCCUUUUGGACUGAACGCCUGUGUAUUGACCUUUGCCUGUCAUUAAAACCCUCUUCUUGUACUACAACUUGUCACGAGUCUUGCAUUUUGGUUCUCCCCAUGUUUUGCCUCUGACAGUGGCAAUGGCAAUGGCAGUGGAGUUGAUGUUUGCCUCCCACUUCAGGUUCUAUGAGACAGUAAUUCCCAGGAACUUGAAUUUCUUGGCUGUUGACACAAGACAGUUGGACAGAGUGAGGGGCAUCUAUGGCGAACGAUGCCUCCUGAAGUCCACAAUCAUCUGUGCAGUUUUUAGUGGGUUCAGCUCCAGGUUGUAUUGGUCAAACCAAAGCUCCAUUCUCACCACUUCCUGUCGAUAUGCAGACUCAUUACAGUGUUUGAUGAGCCCAAUGAUUGUGAUGUCAACUGCAAACUUCAGGAGUUUGACAGCCGGGUGCCUUGAGUUGCAGUCGUUUGUGUCGAGCGAGAAGAGCAGCGGGGAGAGGACACAACCUUGGGGUGGCCUGGUACUGAUGGUCCUGGUGGAUGAGGUGGUGUCCCCCAGGCUUACCUGCUGUGUCCUGCCUGUUCGGAAGUUGUAGAUCCCCUGGCACAUUGCAGGCGAGAUAACGAGCUGGAGAAGCUUGGAGGAGAGGAGUACAGGGAUGAUGGUGUUGAACGUAGAUCUGAAGUCUACAAAGAGGCUCCUCACAUAGGUUCCCAUGCUGCCGAGGUGUUAAAGGAUGAAGUGCAGACCCAUGUUGACUGCAUCAUCCGUAGACCUGUUCGCUCAGUAGGCAAACUGUAGUGGGUCCAGCUGGGGAUCUGCAAUGUCCUUGAGGUGGUCCACCAUGAGGCAUUCAAAUGAUUUCAUGACCACAGAUGUCAAGGCAGGGCAUAGAUUGCCGAUUUCUUGGGGACUGGGAUGACGGUGGAUUAUUUGAAGCAUGUUUGCUACGUCACACAGUUCUUGAGACCUGCUGAAGAUCUUUCAUAAAGACUGGCACAAGUUGGUCUAUGCUGACUUUGAGGCAGGAUGGGGACAUAAGGUCUGGGCCCGCUGCUUUUUUCAUCUUUUGUUUUUUUUUUUUAUUCAUACAUCUCAUGUCCUGUUCAGGGAUGGUCAACAUAGUAGUGGUCUGUGGUUCGAUUUGGUAGGUGUGUGGAGUGAAAGUUUCCUUUUCAAAUCUGCUGUAAAAUCCGUUCAGGUCUUCGGCUAGCCAAUUAUUGUUGUCUGCUGGGGGUUGCUGUUCAUUAAUUAGCGACUGUAAUAUGUGCCAGACUGAUUUGGAGAUGUUAGCGCCAAAUUGUUUUUCCAUCUUGCGGCAUAGUCCCUCUGUCACGGCCGUGCCGGUCCCUGUCAUGGGUGUGCCGGUCCCCGAUGUGACACGCACCUGACUCAAUCAGCCGAUGCACACACCGGAGCUUCGUCCCAGUAAUCACGGCUCACAGAUAUAUUGUCACUCGUACAGUCUGGUCUUUGGCAGAUCGUUGUACUUAUGUCACGUUCACAACUCUUUGUCCAUGCCCUUGCUACCCUGUGUACCGAACCCUGCCUCGUUCUUGACCGUCCUCUCACGACUGCCGAAUCUGCUACUGCUGCCUCCGUGGACUACCUACUGUUGACCCUUCCCAAACUGCUCCUAAGGCUCAUGAGUCGUGCAUUUUGCUUCAGCCUCAAGUUCUGGCCAUGACAGAAUGAUCUGGCCAUAACCUGAACCCAGCCUACUCGGAUCCGGUGGGCCAUGCUCUCCAGCUCCAAGGUCGAUGUCUUGGCGAACUUUAAGGAGCCCUCCAAAUGGUUGCCCACCAGCUGCAGGAGAUCAUGACCUGGCUCGCAUCCUUGUCCGCGUCCAGUGGAGCCGGCGCCAGUGCGGAUCCAGCAGGUGCCGCGGGAGUUUCACAUAACCCAGAGCCUGCUCCCUUGCUGGUCUCUGAUACUCAGAGAGCCGUUUGCUCACCACUCUUCCGCCCGGAGCGAUUUUCUGGGGAAAUUCAUAGACUCGGGUUGCGACGCCAAUCUUUUAAGUUCUCAGCUGGUCAAAAGCAUGGGCCUGAGGACAUUCACAGUACAAUGCCCCCGUAAGGUUUUUGGGGUAAAUGGCAGCUUCGUCGGUUAAAUAACCCGCCGAACUCAGACGCUCACUCUGACAUUUCAGGACUCACACACAGAACCAUGUCAUAACCUACCCUGUGGAAACCCUGGCUGAAAAUACAUAACCCCCAUAUUAACUGGUCGACCGGUGUAAGGGCAAGUCACGUCCUCCCCACAGGUCGUAUGACAGCACCAUUGACCUGCUACCCGGCUACUCACCCCCUCGUGGGAAAUUAUUCUCUCUUUCUGGUCCAGGGCAUCAAGCCAUGAAGGCAUACAAGAGUCACUUGCUGCAGGACUGAUGCAACCCUUGUCUUCACCAGCUGAAGCCGCUUCUUCUUUGUGGAAAAGAAGGACAAGACCCUGUGGCCCUGCAUCGAUUACCAGGGACUGAACAACAUCACUAUAAAGAAUAGGUACCCUCUCCCCCUCAUUGCCACAGCCUUCGAACUGCUGAAGGGGGCCAAGAUUUUUACCAAGCUGGACCUGAGGAAUGCGUACCACCUGGUGUAGAUAAGAGAUGGGGAUUAGUGGAAGACUGCUUUCAACACGCUCACGGAGCAUUGUGAAUACUUGGUGAUGCCCUUCAGACUCACAAAUGCAUCAGUCGUAUUUCAGAAUUUUGUCAAUGACGUUUUACGCAAAAUGCUUAACACAUAUGUUUUUGUGUACCUAGACCAGGGGCGCCCAGACUUUUUUACCCCAAAAUCUACUUCUCAAGCAUCCAGCCUCUCGCGAUCGACAGGGUGUUUUUUUUUUUUUUUUUAGAAUGAGCAAUGAUGAAAUACAAUGACCAAGUCACAAAGAUCUAUGCACAACAAAAAUGCAAAACAUAUUUAUGUGUAAAUGUAUGUUUGUGUGCCUUGCAUAACCGCAUGAAGCCAGUAUUACACAAUAAUUAACUUUGAACAUUUUUUUUAACUAUCCAAGUUCACAUUGCUGGUCCUUCCACACAUCAGCCAUGGGUUCACAGCGCUGUGUAACUGUACUCCUUUACAACUGCAGAAAUUUUGUUGAAGAUAAUAUUUCCGCCUUAUUUUUAAAAUAUCGGAACAACGAGUCAGCUAUGCCUCUUUAUGUGUGAUGUGACAAACCCAGAAACGAUGCUUCAGUGACUGCUGUGUGGCCAAUUGGUAUUUUAGUUAAUUCACUUUUCUCAUUCUCAGCUUGUUUUUUCAGCAGAAUGUUGGUGUCGUAUUUUCCAUAAACAGUUCGAAAAUGCCGUUCCACAUUUAACUACACUGGCAGAUGAGGCAAACGCACUUCGUAAAUUACAUUGUCAAAAAAAGUCCGCCUCCCAUUCCUUAUGAAAGUGACAGCUUUUUGUCUUCUUUACUCCAGCAUCCAUACUCAUGUUUAAGAUUUCUUAAGAGAGCUUAAAAUGGGGACAGAGGGGGGAACUAACUGACAGCGUUUUUUCCUGUACUGUCGUUGUUUGCACAUGCGCGGUGAGCUAGAGUUAAAAAAAAAUACAGCUGAUGUCAUCCUCUUUUCUUUUUGCAAGCCGUCGCGAUCUACCGAAACCGCAUUCAGCACCCCUGACCUAGACAACAUCCUGGUUUUUUUCCCUGGAUGAAAAAUCCCAUGUCAGAUACAUUCAUGCGGUGUUUCAAAAGCUAUUGCAUCAUGACCUGUAUGGUAAGGCUGAAAAGUGUGAGUUCCACCAACCCUCCGUGUCAUUCUUGGGCUUUGUCUUGGUCGAGGGAGAGAUACGCAUGGAUCCCAGCAAGGUCAAGGCCGUUCUUCAUUGGCCCAUUCCGACUACCCGCAAGGAGGUAAAGAGGUUUAUUGGGUUGGCCAACUUCUACCGCAAAUUCAUCCGAAACCUUUAGUACCAUUGCGGCCCCAUUGCAUGCACUAACCUCACCUCACGGUUCUUUCAUUUGGAAUUCGACCUGACAGACGGCCUUCCGUAAGCUCAAGGCCAACUUUACUUCAGCUCCAGUCCUCACCUUGCCUGAUCCAUAUAGGCAGUUUGUCGUCGAGGUCAAUGCAUCGGAUUCGGGGAUAGGGGUGGUUCUCUCACAAAAAAAAUCCCAAGGACGGAAGAUUACACCCCUGCGCUGACUUUCCAAAAAGCUAACUCCGGCGGAACGAAAUCGGAGACCGUGAACUGCUCGCAGUCAAGACAGCCAUGUCAGAAUGGAGACAUGGGUUAGAGUGGACACAGGUCCCAUUCUUGGUACCAGUGGACUACAAAAAUUUUGAAUAUAUUAAAUCAGCCAAAAGACUCAACACCAGGCAACCUAGGUGGGCACUCUUCUUUACGCGGUUUCCCUUCGUGAUGACCUAUCGGGUGGAGACAGAACAAAAAACCUGAUGUCCUGUUGCGUAUGCAUGAUGGGGAGACAACCGAGUCCGACCACACCCCUAUCCUUCCCGACGCUUGUUUCAUCUCAAUCUUCACCUGGGAAAUCGAAACCCAAGUCAAAGAUGCAGUUAAGGACUCUCUCAGCCCUGAAGGCUGCCCCGAUGAACAGGCUAUAUGUUGUUCCCCCGCUAAGGGGAAUAUGUCAGCGUGGCAGGUGGCAGGCAAAGGGAUAGGUGGCAGGCAAAGGGCUGAACAAGUGGUUGUCUUGGUGGCAGGAAAGAUCUGGGUCAGGUUCACAGGGGAGUAUGAGGAACAAGGCUCUCCAGCCCUCCAGGGUUCAAACGUGGAACUGCAUGACAGAACAUGACACCAUCAUAAUACAUAAAGUAACUUUUUUUAACACACUGAUAAAUGAUUUAUAUUGUCCAAAAGUAUUACAUAUCCUGACCUGAUUGAAUACAAACCUACCAAAAUGUUCUAUAAAGCUAGAAAUAAUGUGGAACCGGCAACUGUAAGGGAAGGAGUUCAAAGUCCAAGGGAUGGCUAAACAAUGAGGUCCAUCGACACACACUAAAAGAACAUUUCUAUCAGAAUUUAUGGAGUUAAAUAAACUUUGGCAUACAUUGAAUGUAAAAGGGCAGCACAGUGGACCAGCUGGUACAGCGUUGGGCUCACAGUUCUGAGGACCCAGGUUCAAUCCCGGCCCCGCCUGUGUGGAGUUUCAUGUUCUCCCCGUGCCUGUGAGGCUUUUCUCCGGGCACUCCGGUUUCCUCCCGCAUCCCAAAAACAUGCAACAUUAAUUGGACACUCUAAAUUGCCCCUAGGUGUGAUUGUGAGUGCAGCUGUUGUCUGUCUUUUUGUGCCCUGCGAUUGGCUGUCAACCAGUUCAGGGUGCACAUCGCCUCCUACCCAUUGACAGCUGAGAUAGGCUCCAGCACACUCCACGACCCUCAAGAGGAUAAGUGGCAAAGAAAAUAGAUGGAUGGAUGAAUGUACAGUGAAGAAAAUAAGUAUUUGAACACCCUGCUAAUAUUGCAAGUUUAGCCCAAAUAUAAGAGUUGAAGAAGAAAUACAGACAUCUUCACAAAGUACACAUAUUUUGAAAAGCUGCUGUAAUGUGGACAUAUAUCCUGCAUAUUGUAUUGUAUCCAUAUCUAUUUAUAUAUUAUGCUUGUAAAUAUGUUUUGUAAUAUACAUGAUAGCAUUUCUGUUUUGUAAUAUGUACAGAUAAUGAUUUUGUUUUUAUUUAUUAAUUGUUCACAAUAAUAUUUACAAACCUAGCUAUUUUUCAUAUCUCUAUAUUCUGAAAGUAUUGUACAAAUUUUGUUACAGCCUUUUACAAUAGUGACAUGAGACUGUAGAUAAAAAUGAGAUCAGAGAAUGGGGUAGGAUGUGAAUGAAGUUUAUACAUUAUUUCCUCCUAUUUUUUUAAAUUACUUUCAUCUACCCUUUCAUUUUAUUUUCCUUUAUUUUGCAGGUUUUUUUUUUGUUUUGUUUUGUUUUUGUUAAGCUUUUAAAUAAUGGCCAGCUGGCCAGUACCAGUCAAUGGUCCAGUACCUGGGGACCCCUGUUUUACUAUAUGUCAAUCAGAUAAAGUCAGAAAAUAUACUGUAUGCCGUCUUUGAUUCAAUGCCCUGCAUCCCCAUGUAACCAGAACUUAACACUAAUCUUCGUCCAAGUGAAAUGAUGAACCUGCUGGGAACAACUAUCAAUUUAAUUGCUUCCUCAUAGCCGAACAAAAGAAAUCUAAAGAACAAUAACCAAAUUCAUUAAUUAAUUUAUUCAUUCAUUCAUUCAUUUUCCAAGCCACUUAUCCUCACAAGGGUCGCGGUGGUGCUGACGCCUAUCCCAGCCAUCAUUGUGCAGGAAGUGGGGUACCAAUCACAAGGCACGUAGUUCCAACAACACACAAAACAACGGUCACACUUACAAUCACAUCUAGGGGGAAUUUAGUGUCUCCUAUCACUGUAUGUUUUUGGGAUGUGGGAGGAAACCGGAGUGCCCGGAGAAAACCCAAGCAGGGACGGGGAGAACAUGCAAACUCCACACAGGCGGGCCGGUAUUUGAACCCUGGACUUCAGAACUGUGAGGCCAAUUGUCUAACCAGUUGCCCUACCAUGCCGCCUGGCCAAAUAAAAAAAAAAAAAAAAAAAUCACUAACUUCCCCCCUACAAUGCUAUUACAUCUGCUACAAUUAAUUGAUCAGUUGCUACCAUACCAUUAAUAGUUAUGUCAAAAAAUGUUGCUGCCCCAUACAGAAUCUCAUCUAUUGUGGUGCGGUAUAUUGUAUUAAAAGAAAAACUGAAUUGAUGUAACAUUUAAUAUUUUGUUUAUCAUGCCCUGUAUUUUUCUGAAUAGAAGAACUCCAUUCUGAAGUGAGACUUUGGAAGUGUUAAGCAAUGACGGCUGAGUUAACCUUUUUCUUUUGAGUUCAUAUGCUCCCAAGAGCAAGCCAGACACAUAAUGUUCUUGAGCUCACUGCGUCAUAACCCCAGACAAACACUGCAUUCCAGAUGUACUUAUGGUUCCCAUUACAUCACAAACUUGAAUCAGUGGAAUCUUCGUCAGCAGGCAGACUCUUCUCCUACCAAAGUAGAAUAAAAAAAAAAUCAUUUUUAGUAAAACUUUAAGUUUGUACAUCUCAGGCUUCAAGUUGUCCCCCCAAAAUCUUAGAGAAGAACUAAAAGUAAUUGUGAACAUCAUCUGAGAUCAGACACCUGUGCUUCAUUGUGAUUAUUACUUCAAAUUAGGACCAGAAUACUCUCCAAAAGUCAUUCCCACAAAAAGGCUUAUUUAGACUCAAGUACUCCAAGCCCAUUCUUCAAAAGAAAAUGUAACAUUUGGCCCUAUUUCACAUCAAAUUUUGUGAAAAAUAAAAUUCAAAUAUAUUAAUCCAGAGCGUGGCUAACUGUAUACUCUUUCUGUGUGUUUCUUGUAAAACACAAUUCUCUCAGCUGCCAUUUUUUUUAAAGCUGAUCUGAUUAUUGUGCUUCCAGACCUUUACGUUCCUCUAACAUGCAUUUGUUCAUUCAUUCAAAAUAAUGUUGGUAAAGUGGUCCCUUCAUUUUGGCUGAAUUUCCUUUCAGUGCAGCUUAUUGUUCUAUCUGUUUUAAUAUCAUGCUGGACAUUGGCAGUGCUUUCCUGUGGAACAAACAACAUCAGUGGCUUCACUUUAGCAUUAGAUGACAUUACUCAAGUUGCUGUCACUGGCAGCAAGUACAGGCCGUCUUUUGGCAAACUAAGAAUAAGAAGGUAAUGACGCAUGUUUGAUUUGGGAGACACUGAGGGCUGCACGGUGGUGUGGGACACUGGAGGUGACACGAUGGUGGACUGGCUGUCAUAUUUGCCUCACCGUGUGUCACGACCCAUCAAAACGGAGGUAGGACCCAAAUGCAGGAGUGGGGAGACGCAGAGGUAAUUCGGGAAAAACGUUUAUUGUUCCACGGUCGGGGAUCAGGCAGACAGUCAGGUGUAGCAGCAGUAGUCAGGACGUCGGGCAUAGAGAGCAGGUCAGCGGGCAGGCAGGAGUCGGUACACGGGAGGUCGAUCAAAGCAGGCAAGAAUAUUAAAUUAAUCAGGCUUACGGGGUCGGUCAGAGAACAGGGGAGGUUGGUACACAGGGGAAUAUGAUCAGAGAUACGGGAGUGCUGGAACAGGGCAUGAGUUGCAACAAUCUGACGCCGGACCAGUCGUCCCCAUGGUCCUAUAUACACCGGGGCCAAUCAGCCAGCAUGAGGUGCAGGUGUGCGCCUCCCAAUCAGCGCUACCGUGUGGGAACCCGCACAGCCAGGGCUGGACCGGCAGGAUCAUGACACCGUGAUGAAGUCCUUGGUUCAACUCCAGCUUCUCCUGCAAACAUAGAGUUUCUCUGGGUACUCUGGUUUCUUCCCACAUUCCAGAAACUUACAUGGUAGGUUAUCCAGCCAUCCAUUUUCUGAGCCGCUUAUCCUCACAAGGAUCACGGGAGUGCUGGAGCCUAUCCCAGCUAUUAUCAGGCAGGAGGCAGGGUACACCCUGAACUAGUUGCCAGGCAAUUGCAGGGCACAUGAAGACAGACAACAGCUUCACUCACAAGCACACCUCGGGACAAUUUAGAGUGUGCAAUUAAUGAUGCAUGUUUUUGGGAUGUGUUAGGAAACUGGAGUGUCCAGAGAAAGCCCACACAGGCACAGGGAGAACAUGCAAACGCCACUUGGCGGGGGCGGGAUUGAAUCCCAGACCUUAGAACUGAGAGUCCAAUGCUUUCCAGCUGCUCCACCGUCCCGCCCAUGGUAUGUAACUUGAAGAUGAAAUUGUGAAUUACUCCCCCCGCCCCUUUUCUUUCCCGCAGUGUGAAGGUUUUGUGGUUACACUGACUGGUAUUUUCAACUGUUCAUAAUUUUCUCCACCUUGACAGAGACCCGACUUCCAGUUGAGGAAACACAGCACCAAAGCACGAUUAUGGCGUUACCAUUCUUCACUGUAGGUAUGAUGUUGUUUUGGUGAUGAGCAGUUUUGUUUUUGGUGGACAGAUUAUAGAGAUUAUAUUCAAAAUUGUCAACCUCGGCAUUAUCAGAUCAUAUUACAUUUUACUAUACUAGUUAAGGUGAUGGUGUGUGUUUUAGAAAAAUGGAGAUGAGAUCGCUGUUUUUCUUUGUAAGCUAACGUUAUGUCUUCCCACUCCACCCCACAGAGCCCAGACAUAUGAAGAAGACAAGAUUGUCAGAUGUACUAGUUCUUGCCAUAAAUGACUGUACCUCCCUCACUGCUGCUGUCAGUCUCUUAGCAGGCGUCCCUGACUUCUCAUCUUUUCAUAAAUUUUACAGGGGCGCCCAGUUCUUGCUAAUGUCACUGUUGCACCAUAUUUUCUCAAUUUCUAUUCAAGUAAACUCCUAACAUGGCAUUGACAGCUACAGAACUCAAAUAUCCACAUUAACAGGAACAAGUGGUAGUCAAUGAAUUUUUAAGAGCACAUGUAUGACUCAGAAUCUUCUUUGGGUGUUUUCUUGUGAAUGAUGGAAACUGGCAGAAGGGUGCUGACCCACAAUGACCUCAAGCAAAUGAAAAGGGGGCUGUGUGGGAAAGACGGGGGAGGAUAUGGGCAUUUCCCCUCAAACAUAGAAUAGAAACUAAGACCAGCAGGAAGUCAAUCCAUCAUUAGUAGCCAGACUGCUUGGGCAACAAAGAUAUACGAUGUCUCUCUUUAAAAGUUUGAAUAAGUAUGAAUUAUGUAUUUCAUAUUUAGCACUUUGACCAGUCAGUCAAAACAUGUAGAAAAUGAAUAUCUUUUGAAUAUAACAUCCUGAUGAAGAAGAUACGAUGAAGACCACUGACUGCCUGGUUCUACUCUUUCAUCUUAAUGAUUUCACAAGGAAGGAAAUGGAAAAAUUCUAACUUUUCAACACGUCAAGUCAAUUUUAUUCAGAAACCAGCAGUUAAAUCUCAAGGAACUCGAGACAAGGACAUUUCGAAAGCCAUGUGCCUCACACAUUUUAAGAAAACCAACUGAAUCACACACGACCAAGCACACAGUGGACCAGGAAAUCAUGUACGAAUUAAGGAAUUAAGGCUCUCUUUUUUUUUUUAAUAUAAUUAAUUCAUCACAAUAAAUGUGUUAAAGUACUGUGUGUGUGGGGGGGGGGGUGUGCGUGUGUGGCUCCUGGCUAAGGACAAAUGUGUGUUGGCAUUUAGUGCAUUUAGUCUGCGUGAGAGGAAAAUGUUGCAGCUUCCUGAGAAUGUGUAUAUAUACUGUAUAUCCAUCCAUCCAUUGUCUUAGGUGCUUAUCCUCACAAGGGUCGCGGGACUGCUGGAGCCUAUCUCAGCUGUCAACGGGAAGGAGGCAGGGUACUCCCUGAACUGGUUGCCAGCCAAUCGCAGGGACUGUGGGCACAGACAACAGCCGCACUCAUAAUCACACCUAAGGGCAAUUUAGAGUGUCCAAUUCAUGUUGCAUGUUUUUGCGAUGGAGUCACUGAUGGUGUAGUGGUUCACACGCCUGAUUUUGGUGUGGGCAGUGUGGGAUUGAUUCCCACUCAGUGAUGGUGUCGAUAUCUGCCCUGUAACUGACAGGCGACUAGUUCAGAGUGUAGUCCGCCUUUUACCCGAAGUUAGCUGGGAUAGGCUCUGGCUCUCCUGUGACCCUUGUGAGGAUAAGCGGCUUGGGUAAUGGAUGGAUGGAUGGAUGUUUUUGGGAUGUGGGAGGAAACCGGAGUGCCCGGAGAAAACUCACACAGGCAUGGAGACAACAUGCAAACUCCACAUAGGCAGGGCAGGGAUUUGAACCCUGGGCCUCGGAACUGUGAGGCCAACGCUCUACAACUACACACCAAGCCACCACUUCGUAUAUUUAAAAAAGAAAAAGCACAUUAUUCUAGAAUGAAACUAAAGAUCAAAACCUGUUUCAGGCCAUAAUAUUUAUUUGAGAAUUAAAGAUAUAUAAACGUCUGUCCAUCCAUCCAUUUUGUUCUGCUUUAUCCAGGAUUGGAUAUCCUGUUUUACUAUAAAAAGAAAAUUGUUGUAGUUUUUAGAAAUUUUAUUUGAAUGAUCAAUCUAUGAGGUUGGACGGAAGAAAUUCAUCAUAGUGACUGUGCCUUUUCUUCCUGGCAUGGCUCAGCUGCAGCUGAUUUUUCCGCUGAAGCACCUUAGUGCAGGUGUAUGUUUUCGAGGGAAAAUAUAGCUAUGGGUCGUUGUUGACGCUCUUUUUUUCUUCCGGGACAGAAUGUUCUCAUAAACAGAUAUUCCACCUUCGAUUAUGUUUCAGAACUGAAGCCACAACGUCUGGUGCUUAGAGUGGGCGCCACCACUGAAGCUACAAUAAGUAAAUAAAAGGAAGCUGCUUUGAAUCCAGAAAACCUCGGUUUUCGAACGUCUUGAUUUUCAUACAAAUCGGUUUUGGAACGAAAUUUUCGAUAUUAUUUUGCUUUGGUUUUCGGAAGAAAAUCGGCAUUCGAAAACCCCGACCAGCUGACCCAUGACGAUUUGUUAUUGUGCUUUCGAACGCACCACCCAAAAAAUACGGAAAAAAAAUAACACGCGACAGCGCAACCAGUUUAAUUCAAUUCAGUUCAAUUUAAGCAACAUUAACCCCUGAUCAUGGCUCCAAAGAGGACAAGUGGAACUGCUGGUGCUGAAAAAAGGAAAAUGCGUAGACUACAUUCAAGUUGAUUGGUGUGGUCUUCUCCAGGUUUCUCUGUCCCUCUUGUACAUGCUCAACCCUGGGUAGUUAACCCCUGACUUCCGGCCUCUUGGACUCUGCCCUCUUUUUGUCUCUUUUUGUGUUCUGGAUGGCUUAUCUUGUCAGCCAAAGGCUUACUUUGGGCUACCCCUCCCCUUCUUUUUGUUCAGAGGCACAGUUCGGCCAACAUGAAGGACAGUAUUAGAACAGACUUGGAUUCCCAGCCUCUAAGGCCACUACUAGGGGAUCAGAAUAACUCCUACCAAAGUCCUAGGUAUGCUUCCAGCCCGGCAUGAUUCCUCUAAAAUUGCUAGCAAGUUCAUGAAUAGACAGGAAGAGGAACAAUCGCAACAUCCCACAGAAUGCGUGUAGAACUACUUCUUCCACUUUUUCCACCUGUUUUUAUUGUUGUCUAUCUUUUUUGUUUAACCAAACCUGCCUCCUGAGGUACACCCAGAGAGACCAUUCCUAGAGACCAGCCAAUCUACAUUUUAUCCAAGUAUGGGCCAGCUGAUGCCAAGCAAAGCUUCUGUACAACAGCGGGGCCCACUAUUUGUCUUGCAUGUGAAGUUACGGACGUCUGUCCCAAAUCUGUCCACUGACUUGAUCAGAGGGGAUGUUUUUGAUCAACU